rnacentral:rRNA from 1 species
GAUGAACGCUGGCGGCGUGCCUAAUACAUGCAAGUCGAGCGAACGGACGAGGAGCUUGCUCCUCUGACGUUAGCGGCGGACGGGUGAGUAACACGUGGAUAACCUACCUAUAAGACUGGGAUAACUUCGGGAAACCGGAGCUAAUACCGGAUAACAUGUUGAACCGCAUGGUUUAACAGUGAAAGACGGUCUUGCUGUCACUUAUAGAUGGAUCCGCGCCGCAUUAGCUAGUUGGUAAGGUAACGGCUUACCAAGGCAACGAUGCGUAGCCGACCUGAGAGGGUGAUCGGCCACACUGGAACUGAGACACGGUCCAGACUCCUACGGGAGGCAGCAGUAGGGAAUCUUCCGCAAUGGGCGAAAGCCUGACGGAGCAACGCCGCGUGAGUGAAGAAGGUCUUCGGAUCGUAAAACUCUGUUAUUAGGGAAGAACAAAUGUGUAAGUAACUAUGCACGUCUUGACGGUACCUAAUCAGAAAGCCACGGCUAACUACGUG